rnacentral:rRNA from 1 species
GAGUUUGAUCGUGGCUCAGGAUGAACGCUGGCGGCGUGCUUAACACAUGCAAGUCGAACGAAGCACUUUGCUUGAUUUCCUUCGGGAAUGAUUGUUCUGUGACUGAGUGGCGGACGGGUGAGUAGCGCGUGGGUAACCUGCCUCAUACAGGGGGAUAACAGUUAGAAAUGACUGCUAAUACCGCAUAAGCACACGUGAUCGCAUGAUCGAGUGUGAAAAACUCCGGUGGCAUGAGAUGGACCCGCGUCUGAUUAGCUAGUUGGUGGGGUAAUGGCCCCACCAAGGCGACGAUCAGUAGCCGGCCUGAGAGGGUGAACGGCCACAUUGGGACUGAGACACGGCCCAAACUCCUACGGGAGCAGCAGUGGGAAUAUUGCACAAUGGGGAAACCCUGAUGCAGCGACGCCGCGUGAAGGAU